ACUAGAUCAAAUCUAUCUUAAUAGUUUAGGACAUUAAUUUUUCUCCUUUGCUAUUAAAUGAGAAAUACUGCUCAGAAUAAAAUGUUUUUCACGGUGAAGGGAUGGCAAUAUCCAC
rfam:Procavia capensis cont1.105895, whole genome shotgun sequence.